rnacentral:misc_RNA from 1 species
AACCUAGCACACCUGCGGUGUGUACCUGCGGAAGGAUCAUUAUAGAAUUGUUCGAAUUCCAUACGGACGAUUUUCUAAAAAUCCGUAUCCACACCGGUAGGGCUGGCCUGAGCAAUCAGUCGGCCCUUGCCGUAGGGUUCCUUUUCUUUUUCUUCGGGAAAAGAACUGGUUCCUGUCUGACCCAUGCCUAUAAUUUUUUAUUGUCUGAACUUUUAUAUAAUAUAUAUAAAAACUAAAACA